AUGUUAUGUCCAUUAUGUAUCAUGUCAUCUAUUAAAAGGACCAUUAGCUAGGCUUUAUGCAUCCGUUUUAUAGUUAUAGUUAUUAAAAAUUAAGAUGGCUACUUGUUAUCCAACUUUAAGCAAUCCUUUGUUUCCAUAUUCCUAUAUUUCAAGUGAUUCUUUUCAAAUUUAUAUAUACACUUGUGAUUAAUCCGCCUCGCUCUAUCAUUUUCUCUGGAGGUCAGGGGUUCAUACCCUGCACUUUGCCUUAGCCUCUUUUUUUUCGGCAUUUUUUGUCAGUUUCUUUAUGUAGUAGCCAAGCAUCAUUAUAUACAGAGUUGAAGCCAUAAACCAUUGGUCAAGAUCUCUGAGUUUGAAUAAUGUUAGGUUUUGAGCCAAGCAUCACUAUAACAGAGUUGAAGCCACGAACCUAAACUAAGUAUUCACCAUUCCUCGAUUAAAAAAAAGAGCAAAAAGUGGAUUCGCUACACACCGACACGACACGAAGCAUUCUAGCGAGGGUACAGAGAUUUUAGUCGCAUUCUUGAUCACAUAUGAUUAGUUUCAUCUGAAAGUGACACUGAUCUGAUACAAAACAACAUAAAGAGCUAAUGUGGAAGAAACGUAAAUGGCUAAACAACUCUUCAGUGUGGUCUAAGUUUUUUUCUAAGUCUGGAUUGGACCGGUAACCAAACACUAUAAGAGAAAUAAAUCGUGUGUAUAUACCAUAGAGAAAAUAUAUGAGAUGAAUUAUGAUAACUUUUUGUUUUUUGAUCAUAGUAACCACUCAAUAAAAAAUGAAAAUAAAGUAACAAUGUGUGGUGGUUUAUUUUGUAUUU
rnacentral:lncRNA from 1 species